rnacentral:rRNA from 1 species
AUGCCGCGUGCAGGAUGACGGUCCUAUGGAUUGUAAACUGCUUUUGUACGGGAAGAAACAACUCUACGUGUAGAGUCUUGACGGUACCGUAAGAAUAAGGAACGGCUAACUCCGUGCCAGCAGCCGCGGUAAUACGGAGGAUCCAAGCGUUGUCCGGAAUCAUUGGGUUUAAAGGGUCCGUAGGCGGUUUGGUAAGUCAGUGGUGAAAGCCCAUCGCUCAACGGUGGAACGGCCAUUGAUACUGCUAGACUUGAAUUAUUAGGAAGCAACUAGAAUAUGUAGUAUAGCGGUGAAAUGCUUAGAGAUUACAUGGAAUACCAAUUGCGAAGGCAGGUUGCUACUAAUGGAUUGACGCUGAUGGACGAAAGCGUGGGUAGCGAACAGGAUUAGAUACCCUGGUAGUCCACGCCGUAAACGAUGGAUACUAGCUGUUGGGAGCGAUCUCAGUGGCUAAGCGAAAGUGAUAAGUAUCCCACCUGGGGAGUACGUUCGCAAGAAUGAAACUCAAAGGAAUUGACGG